UACAGAGGGUGCGAGCGUUGUCCGGAAUCACUGGGCGUAAAGGGCGCGUAGGUGGCGACCCAAGUCUGUGGUGAAAGCUCGAUGCUCAACAUCGAGUCGGCCACGGAUACUGGGUGGCUGGAGCACUGUAGAGGCAGAUGGAAUUCCGGGUGUAGCGGUGGAAUGCGUAGAGAUCCGGAAGAACACCGGUGGCGAGGGCGGUCUGCUGGGCAGUAGCUGACACUGAUGCGCGACAGCGUGGGGAGCAAACAGG
rnacentral:rRNA from 1 species